CAGCUGAAACUCGAGUGCAUGAAGCUGGAAUCGCUAGUAAUCGCAAAUCAGAAUGUUGCGGUGAAUACGUUCCCGGGUCUUGUACACACCGCCCGUCACACCAUGGGAGUUGGAAAUGCCCGAAGUCAGUGACCCAACCAAAAGGAGGGAGCUGCCGAAGGCAGGUUCGAUGACUGGGGUGAAGUCGUAACAAGGUAAC
rnacentral:rRNA from 1 species